GGGGGCGAUUGGUCUCGACGGGGGUGAGAAAGCCCCGGCUGCAUGCCGAGGUCCCGGUGGCUCGUUAAACAAUCGGGAAAACACAACUGCCAACAACGAACUGGCACUGGCUGCUUAAUUAAGCAACCCGUCCUCUUUCUCCUGCCUGUGGGGGGGAGUCAGGGCGCAAUAUUCACAGGAUAGCCAAGCGGGGAGGGCUCCGGCCCCAAAGGCGAAACAUCAGGAGAUAGCGACGAGGCUAAGCCCGCCCUUGGGGCGUGCCUCCGGGCGAAUCCCAAAUCCAAGGGUAAGCAUGUAGAGGUCGUGGCGGACCAUUUCCGGACGCGGGUUCGAUUCCCGCCGCCUCCACCA
rnacentral:tmRNA from 4 species